UACAGAGGUCUCAAGCGUUGUUCGGAUUCAUUGGGCGUAAAGGGUGCGUAGGUGGCGUGGUAAGUCGGGUGUGAAAUUUCGGAGCUUAACUCCGAAACUGCAUUCGAUACUGCUGUGCUUGAGGACUGGAGAGGAGACUGGAAUUUACGGUGUAGCAGUGAAAUGCGUAGAGAUCGAUAAGGAAGACCAGUGGCGAAGGCGGGUCUCUGGACAGUUCCUGACACUGAGGCACGAAGGCCAGGGGAGCAAACGGG
rnacentral:rRNA from 1 species